UAUUAUGUUGGUGCAAAAGUAAUCGCGGUUUUUGCCAUUAAAAGCCAUGAGAAAAACUGCGAUUACUUUUGCGCCAACC
ensembl:miRNA